GACGAACGCUGGCGGCGUGCUUAACACAUGCAAGUCGAACGGUAAGGCCCUUCGGGGUACACGAGUGGCGAACGGGUGAGUAACGCGUGAGUAACCUGCCCUUGACUCUGGGAUAACAGAUGGAAACGUCUGCUAAUACCGGAUACUCAGCCUUGUGGGCCUCCACAGGGUUGGAAAGCUCCGGCGGUCAAGGAUGGACUCGCGUCCUAUCAGCUAGUUGGUGGGGUAACGGCCUACCAAGGCGACGACGGGUAGCCGGCCUGAGAGGGCGACCGGCCACAUUGGGACUGAGAUACGGCCCAGACUCCUACGGGAGGCAGCAGUGGGGAAUAUUGCACAAUGGGCGAAAGCCUGAUGCAGCAACGCCGCGUGCGGGAUGACGGCCUUCGGGUUGUAAACCGCUUUCAGCAGGGACGAAGCGCAAGUGACGGUACCUGCAAAAGAAGCACCGGCUAACUACGUGCCAGCAGCCGCCGCCG
rnacentral:rRNA from 1 species